rnacentral:rRNA from 1 species
AACGAACGCUGGCGGCAGGCCUAACACAUGCAAGUCGAGCGAGUCCUGCGGGCCUGCUCCCGCACGGAUCCGCAACCCGUGGGGACCUGCCCUUAGGUCUGGCUUGACUCGCCGAAUGGCGUCCUGAUACGGGCUCAUAUCCCCCAUCCAACGUUUUAGCGCCGUUGGGUGGGCUCGCGUUGGCUUAGCAAGUUAGUAGGGUAAAAGCCUCCCAAGGCGACGUUCCAUAGCUGGUCUGAGAGGAUGAUCAGCCACACUGGGACUGAGACACGGCCCAGACUCCUACGGGAGGCAGCAGUGGGGAAUAUUGGACAAUGGGCGAAAGCCUGAUCCAGCAAUGCCGCGUGAGUGAUGAAGGCCUUAGGGUUGUAAAGCUCUUUUACCCGGGAUGAUAAUGACAGUACCGGGAGAAUAAGCUCCGGCUAACUCCGUG